GGCUCGUUGGUCUAGGGGUAUGAAACUCGCUUAGGGUGCGAGAGGUCCCGGGUUCAAAUCCCGGACGAGCCC
rnacentral:tRNA from 1 species